CCUACGGGAGGCAGCAGUGGGGAAUAUUGGACAAUGGGGGCAACCCUGAUCCAGCCAUGCCGCGUGUGUGAAGAAGGCCCUCGGGUUGUAAAGCACUUUCAGUGAGGAAGAACGCCUGGUGGUUAAUACCCAUCAGGAAAGACAUCACUCACAGAAGAAGCACAGGCUAACUCCGUGCCAGCAGCCGCGGUAAUACGGAGGGUGCGAGCGUUAAUCGGAAUUACUGGGCGUAAAGCGCGCGUAGGUGGCUUGAUAAGCCGGUUGUGAAAGCCCCGGGCUCAACCUGGGAACGGCAUCCGGAACUGUCAAGCUAGAGUGCAGGAGAGGAAGGUAGAAUUCCCGGUGUAGCGGUGAAAUGCGUAGAGAUCGGGAGGAAUACCAGUGGCGAAGGCGGCCUUCUGGACUGACACUGACACUGAGGUGCGAAAGCGUGGGUAGCAAACAGGAUUAGAUACCCUUGUAGUC
rnacentral:rRNA from 1 species